rnacentral:rRNA from 1 species
UACAGAGGGUGCAAGCGUUGUUCGGAAUUACUGGGCGUAAAGCGUGCGUAGGCGGUAUUGAGAGUCACGGGUGAAAUCCCCAAGCUUAACUUGGGAACUGCCUGUGAGACCUCAGUACUAGAGUGCGAGAGAGGAUGGUGGAAUUCCUAGUGUAGCGGUGAAAUGCGUAGAGAUUAGGAAGAACACCGGUGGCGAAGGCGACCAUCUGGCUCGUAACUGACGCUCAGGCACGAAAGCGUGGGGAGCAAACAGG